GUUAAGCGACUAAGCGUACACGGUGGAUGCCCUGGCAGUCAGAGGCGAUGAAGGACGUGCUAAUCUGCGAUAAGCGUCGGUAAGGUGAUAUGAACCGUUAUAACCGGCGAUUUCCGAAUGGGGAAACCCAGUGUGUUUCGACACACUAUCAUUAACUGAAUCCAUAGGUUAAUGAGGCGAACCGGGGGAACUGAAACAUCUAAGUACCCCGAGGAAAAGAAAUCAACCGAGAUUCCCCCAGUAGCGGCGAGCGAACGGGGAGCAGCCCAGAGCCUGAAUCAGUGUGUGUGUUAGUGGAAGCGUCUGGAAAGGCGCGCGAUACAGGGUGACAGCCCCGUACACAAAAAUGCACAUGCUGUGAGCUCGAUGAGUAGGGCGGGACACGUGGUAUCCUGUCUGAAUAUGGGGGGACCAUCCUCCAAGGCUAAAUACUCCUGACUGACCGAUAGUGAACCAGUACCGUGAGGGAAAGGCGAAAAGAACCCCGGCGAGGGGAGUGAAAAAGAACCUGAAACCGUGUACGUACAAGCAGUGGGAGCACGCUUAGGCGUGUGACUGCGUACCUUUUGUAUAAUGGGUCAGCGACUUAUAUUCUGUAGCAAGGUUAACCGAAUAGGGGAGCCGAAGGGAAACCGAGUCUUAACUGGGCGUUAAGUUGCAGGGUAUAGACCCGAAACCCGGUGAUCUAGCCAUGGGCAGGUUGAAGGUUGGGUAACACUAACUGGAGGACCGAACCGACUAAUGUUGAAAAAUUAGCGGAUGACUUGUGGCUGGGGGUGAAAGGCCAAUCAAACCGGGAGAUAGCUGGUUCUCCCCGAAAGCUAUUUAGGUAGCGCCUCGUGAAUUCAUCUCCGGGGGUAGAGCACUGUUUCGGCAAGGGGGUCAUCCCGACUUACCAACCCGAUGCAAACUGCGAAUACCGGAGAAUGUUAUCACGGGAGACACACGGCGGGUGCUAACGUCCGUCGUGAAGAGGGAAACAACCCAGACCGCCAGCUAAGGUCCCAAAGUCAUGGUUAAGUGGGAAACGAUGUGGGAAGGCCCAGACAGCCAGGAUGUUGGCUUAGAAGCAGCCAUCAUUUAAAGAAAGCGUAAUAGCUCACUGGUCGAGUCGGCCUGCGCGGAAGAUGUAACGGGGCUAAACCAUGCACCGAAGCUGCGGCAGCGACACUAUGUGUUGUUGGGUAGGGGAGCGUUCUGUAAGCCUGUGAAGGUGUGCUGUGAGGCAUGCUGGAGGUAUCAGAAGUGCGAAUGCUGACAUAAGUAACGAUAAAGCGGGUGAAAAGCCCGCUCGCCGGAAGACCAAGGGUUCCUGUCCAACGUUAAUCGGGGCAGGGUGAGUCGACCCCUAAGGCGAGGCCGAAAGGCGUAGUCGAUGGGAAACAGGUUAAUAUUCCUGUACUUGGUGUUACUGCGAAGGGGGGACGGAGAAGGCUAUGUUGGCCGGGCGACGGUUGUCCCGGUUUAAGCGUGUAGGCUGGUUUUCCAGGCAAAUCCGGAAAAUCAAGGCUGAGGCGUGAUGACGAGGCACUACGGUGCUGAAGCAACAAAUGCCCUGCUUCCAGGAAAAGCCUCUAAGCAUCAGGUAACAUCAAAUCGUACCCCAAACCGACACAGGUGGUCAGGUAGAGAAUACCAAGGCGCUUGAGAGAACUCGGGUGAAGGAACUAGGCAAAAUGGUGCCGUAACUUCGGGAGAAGGCACGCUGAUAUGUAGGUGAGGUCCCUCGCGGAUGGAGCUGAAAUCAGUCGAAGAUACCAGCUGGCUGCAACUGUUUAUUAAAAACACAGCACUGUGCAAACACGAAAGUGGACGUAUACGGUGUGACGCCUGCCCGGUGCCGGAAGGUUAAUUGAUGGGGUUAGCGCAAGCGAAGCUCUUGAUCGAAGCCCCGGUAAACGGCGGCCGUAACUAUAACGGUCCUAAGGUAGCGAAAUUCCUUGUCGGGUAAGUUCCGACCUGCACGAAUGGCGUAAUGAUGGCCAGGCUGUCUCCACCCGAGACUCAGUGAAAUUGAACUCGCUGUGAAGAUGCAGUGUACCCGCGGCAAGACGGAAAGACCCCGUGAACCUUUACUAUAGCUUGACACUGAACAUUGAGCCUUGAUGUGUAGGAUAGGUGGGAGGCUUAGAAGUGUGGACGCCAGUCUGCAUGGAGCCGACCUUGAAAUACCACCCUUUAAUGUUUGAUGUUCUAACGUUGACCCGUAAUCCGGGUUGCGGACAGUGUCUGGUGGGUAGUUUGACUGGGGCGGUCUCCUCCUAAAGAGUAACGGAGGAGCACGAAGGUUGGCUAAUCCUGGUCGGACAUCAGGAGGUUAGUGCAAUGGCAUAAGC
rnacentral:rRNA from 1 species